CCAACUGCAGCAGCAGCGGGCCCAGCCUGCCCCGCAACAGCCAGCGCGGCUCCUGGAGGGAAACGAGCAAGGCGGCCCCGCAGGUGUGGCGCGGCCCUGGGAGGGCGCGUGCGAGCGCUGCUUUGUUUGGUGCCCGCACAGCCCCGGGCUCCAGGCCUGAGCGCCAACCUUCCCGAGCUGAGUCACGGCUGCAGAGCCCGAGGGCGGCCAUACGGCCCCGCCCGGAAGGAUGAGGCCCCUUCCUGAAGCUGGCGAGUCCGAUGCGGUGGCAGGGACAAAAGCCAGGGGAAGGUGGCUUCUAUUCUACAAAGCCCUUUAGGGAAGGGGGGAGUCAGGCCGCCCUCACCCAGUGCAGGUCCGUCACGAUGGUCACCCAGAGCACUCACGCAGAAAGCCAGCUUGCAGCCGCCAGCCCUGAGGAUGCCGCCCCCAAAGGGCUCAUUGCUCUAAUCACCCGUCCAGGGGCUUGAGGCAAAGCUCCAAGACAGACCUGUAGCAGCAUGGCCCAAAAAGUUCCUCUGCUGCCCCAGUCCCAUACCUGCCUGAGGUACGGGGGUUCAGGCUGAGUCGGCUGACCUGGAGUCAUCUGGAAGCCUUGUCAGAAAUGCAGAUUCUGCAGUGCUGUUCCCAGAGGAUGAGAUUCAGCAGAACUGGGUGUUGGAUAUUAUAUGAAGAGAUUUGCAAGUGUUAUUUUACGUAAUUCGCACUUUACAAAGGAGGAAACUGCAGCGCAGGUACCAAGGUUGCCCCAUCUCGGUCCAGGCCUGCUCCCGGCGAGCCACUCGCCCUUGACCACGCCUCCUCUCUCCUGAUUGGCUGUCAGGCAUGAGUCAGAAGGAAGCCAUCUGCAACCCAAGGAGAGAGCUCUUGCCAGACUCUGACCCUGCUGGCAUCUUGAUCUUGAUUUUGGAUUUUCUAGCCUCCAGAUCCAUGAAAAAAUAAAUUCCUUUCCUGAUGUUUAUAAUAUUUUGUUAUGGCAGAUUAAGCUCACUAAGACAAUAAUCAAAGACCUAUAAAACCGUGAACUUCUUGAGACAAUGAGGAUGCCUCUAACAGACUUGGGAAGAAAUCCUGCACAAAGAGCUGGGGAAAAAAGGGAAGAAAAGCACAUAGAAUACUCCUUCAAGGCAGGCAUUGGCAGACCUUCCACCGUGCACCAGGCUCUGUGCUAAGAUUCACCCUGGAGUAACCCUGCCUCUGGGGGUGAAGUUGCUAUAUCUGGCUGCGUUUUGGCCAGCCGACCCUCUAGGCAGCCCUUAAUUCUUGCUUCUCAAACUUACUUCCAAGGACAGAGAAAGAUGACCACUGCCCUCACCCCACUAAAGAAGCCCCAGCACUUAGCAAGCACUUAUGGCCCAGAGCAGACUGUCUCUACUUCAUUUCACUCUCCACACCCAGACUUGGACCACACUUGGAAAAGAACCAGCCAGUCCUGGAGGCUGCAUAUUGUGGAUAGCAGGACUCCACUCACAUCUCAAAGCUCCUCCCUGCCCAUUCCCAUGGUCCCUCCAGCCCUUGGGCAAUACUACCAAUAAGAAGGAGAAAUGAGCUGGAUUUCACUUCCUUUGGAGCAGGUGUGAAUAAACAGAAUUGUCCCAAACUUGGGCAGCAGAAGUGGGGAAAGAAGAAAGGCAACCGGCCAGGCGCGGUGGCUCACGCCUGUAAUCCCAGCAUUUGGGGAGGCCCAGGC
rnacentral:lncRNA from 1 species